rnacentral:rRNA from 1 species
AGCGAACGCUGGCGGCAGGCUUAACACAUGCAAGUCGAACGGGCAUCCUCGGAUGUCAGUGGCAGACGGGUGAGUAACACGUGGGAACGUACCCUUCGGUUCGGAAUAACUCAGGGAAACUUGAGCUAAUACCGGAUACGCCCUUUUGGGGAAAGGUUUACUGCCGAAGGAUCGGCCCGCGUCUGAUUAGCUUGUUGGUGGGGUAACGGCCUACCAAGGCGACGAUCAGUAGCUGGUCUGAGAGGAUGAUCAGCCACACUGGGACUGAGACACGGCCCAGACUCCUACGGGAGGCAGCAGUGGGGAAUAUUGGACAAUGGGCGCAAGCCUGAUCCAGCCAUGCCGCGUGAGUGAUGAAGGCCUUAGGGUUGUAAAGCUCUUUUGUCCGGGACGAUAAUGACGGUACCGGAAGAAUAAGCCCCGGCUAACUUCGU